AAACUCCGCCAGCCGAUAGGCGCUUUUGUUUUGUCCACCACUAGCCAAGCAAAAGCCGUCAAAUCAUCCUCGCAUUUGACCCAAGGUAUUAAACUAAUUUUUGCGUUUGAAUUGUUUAAAUUUCCAACGAAUCUUCGCUAUGAGUACUAUCGGCACUGGAUACGACUUGUCGGCCUCGCAGUUCUCGCCUGAUGGCCGAGUUUUCCAGAUCGACUACGCCUCGAAGGCGGUGGAGAAGAGCGGCACCGUGAUCGGGAUUCGAGGCAAGGACGCCGUGGUGCUUGCCGUGGAAAAGAUCAUCAGCAGCAAGCUGUACGAACCGGACGCCGGCGGACGCAUCUUCACCAUCGAAAAGAACAUCGGAAUGGCGGUGGCCGGCUUGGUGGCCGAUGGAAACUAUGUGGCGGACAUCGCCCGACAGGAGGCAGCCAAUUACAGGCAGCAAUUCGAGCACGCUAUCCCGCUAAAACACCUAUGCGAUCGAGUAGCCGGUUACGUCCACGCCUAUACUCUGUACAGUGCCGUCCGUCCCUUCGGACUGUCCAUCAUCCUCGCCUCCUGGGACGAGGUUGAGGGUCCACAGCUCUACAAAAUCGAGCCGUCCGGCUCCUCCUUCGGUUACUUCGCCUGCGCCAGUGGUAAGGCCAAACAGCUGGCCAAGACUGAGAUGGAAAAGCUCAAGACGGAUAUGAAGAUCGACGACUUGGUGAAGAGCGCCGGUGAAAUCAUCUACAAAGUCCAUGACGAGUUGAAGGACAAGGACUUCCGCUUCGAAAUGGGUUUGGUGGGCAGGGUAACCGAAGGCCUACAUCUCAUAAAUCCCCCGGAACUGACGGAAAAGGCGAGGAAUGCCGGCGAUGCCGCCAAGACGGAAGAUGACAGCGACAAUGAGACGCGCUAGUUCGUUUGUGCCAGUGAAUCUAAUUCUGGGCCUAAAUACAUAAUGUUAAUUUUAUAUUUCCCUAAAGCGCAAAAUGAAUAAACAAAAUCGGGUCUGCAUAAAAAUAGUCCGGCUAUCGGAACUGGUUCAUUUCGAAUGAAAAUGUAGAUAUCGAAGAAAACUCGAUUACUAUGAAUAAAGUCAUAUCGCUAACAGCUGAUGCAUUUCGCGCCAUUUAUUGUAUUUUAUUUUGUUUAACACGACGUGAAAUUCAGCCUUUUAUUCAUAAGUACAAUGACAACCUUAAUAGAACAGUUAAUUACGAAAAUGGGCCUAAGGGAGGAGCCAAACGUUUUAGA